UCAAGGGGGCCCGCAAGGGCAACCGGCGAACGGGUGCGUAACACGUGAGCAACCUACCGAUUUGUGGGGGAUAGCCGGCCCAACGGCCGGGUAAUACCGCAUACGCUUUUCCGGUCACCUGACCGGAUCAGGAAACUUUCGAGGCAGAUCGAGGGGCUCGCGGCCUAUCAGCUAGUUGGCGAGGUCACGGCUCACCAAGGCGACGACGGGUAGCUGGUCUGAGAGGAUGGCCAGCCACAUUGGGACUGAGAAACGGCCCAGACUCCUACGGGAGGCAGCAGUGGGGAAUCUUGCGCAAUGGGCGAAAGCCUGACGCAGCGACGCCGCGUGGGGGAUGACGGGUUUCGGCUUGUAAACCCCUGUUGCCCGGGACGAAUCUCCGCUUUCGAGCGGAUUGACGGUACCGGGUGAGGAAGCACCGGCUAACUCUGUGCCAGCAGCCGCGGUAAUACAGAGGGUGCGAGCGUUG
rnacentral:rRNA from 1 species